GACGAACGCUGGCGGCGUGCCUAACACGUGCAAGUCGAGCGAGUUAAUCUCCUUCGGGAGUGGAGCUAGCGGCGGACGGGUGAGUAACACGUGGGCAACCUGCCUCAUAGAGGGGAAUAGCCUUCCGAAAGGAAGAUUAAUACCGCAUAAGAUUGUAGCUUCGCAUGAAGUAGCAAUUAAAGGAGCAAUCCGCUAUGAGAUGGGGCCCGCGGCGCAUUAGCUAGUUGGUGAGGUAACGGCUCACCAAGGCGACGAUGCGUAGCCGACCUGAGAGGGUGAUCGGGCCACAUUGGGACUGAGACACGGCCCCAGGACUCCUACGGGAGGCAGCAGUGGGGAAUAUUGGCACAAUGGGGGAAACCCCUGAUGCAGCAACGCCGCGUGAGUGAUGACGGCCUUC
rnacentral:rRNA from 1 species